GGAUCCCAACCCUCCCCCUAACCUGGGACAGGGGUAUAACAGUACAACAUAAGAACGAACUAUAAAAAUCAAUUGAAAAAGGCUUUUAACUCAUCAGAUGGACAAAAAAUACAAGUGGACUUAGACUUUUCUAACUCUUGAAUCCCUUAGCUAUAUUUGGCAAAACUUUUAGGAAUUUUUUGUUCUCAAUCAUUUUCAACUUUGUUCUUUAUUUGAUCUUUUUUUUUUAAAUGUAUUUAAGCAUCACCGAUGAGUUUUUUGUAGACAAAACAUGUAUCUGGUGCAAAUACAAAAUAUCAAUCCUGGUAUCUGAUUAGUUCAUUUUUGCUGUAAUUAACUUUAUAUGAUAUGCAAGCGGGGGCAUCAUCUUUGUCCCAUUGUCACAUUCCCCUUUUAUAUAUUUUGAUUGAAGAUGAUCUUCUGCCCUCAUUUCAGAUAUGAUUGUCCUAUUUUUUUAAUUUAAUCUUUUAAACUGUUUAGCUGAUAUUGAUUUAACUCUACCAUAAUUAUCCUUAGCAAAAACAUGGCCUCUUUUACAAAAACAGGCCUCUUAUGCAAAAAUAUAACACCAAUAGAGUUGGAAAGAUUUCAGAUUAUACAUUGUAAUUGA
rnacentral:lncRNA from 1 species